rnacentral:rRNA from 1 species
UGAGCAAUCUGCCCUUCUCUUCGGAAUAAGCGUUGGAAACGACGUCUAAUGCCGGAUACGACCUCCUUUCGCAUGAUCGGAGGUGGAAAGCUCCGGCGGAGAAGGAUGAGCUCGCGGCCUAUCAGCUAGUUGGUGUGGGUAAUGGCCUACCAAGGCUUCGACGGGUAGCCGGCCUGAGAGGGUGACCGGCCACACUGGGACUGAGACACGGCCCAGACUCCUACGGGAGGNAG